UGCGUCACGUCCAAGUCAAGCCGCCGUACGGGUGUAUGGCCGUGCGCCCCGUUCUCGGAAGCGUCGACGGGUUUCCGGCAUGCGAAUUUCAGCGUUUGGACUCGACUUUUGGUGAGGAUGUCGAUCGACCUUGGGCCUGGUGACAGCACAGCCGACAUCGCCAAAGUGCAGCCUAUCAGUUGAGUGCCCCCGAAUGGACCAUCAACAUCGGAAAAUGAAGCAGAGCCAGGGGGAAAAGGUACCGGUAACACCAUGCAUUCAGUAUGGUGGCCCAGAUGUGUAUGCAAGCAACCUCCUUCAUGUGGACCAAGAACUACUCUGCAGUGUCUCGCAGACUUCCAUGCGAAGCCCUCAACAUUCUCGUCUCAGUGGAAUGGCUGCUCAUCUAUCUGCGUGUCCAUCACCAAGACGGCCAGUUGUAAAGCUCCUGUACCAGUUUAAGAAGCUUAAUGAUUGUUUUAUUUAGUUUUCACGGUUGGCCGUAGAAUCUUAACAUUUUUGAUGUUUCUAACAUUUUUACCUGGCACAAAGUGGUGCAAUAACUUUAAACCAGUGUAAUGUAUUUAAAUCAUGCUCACUCUAAUGCCUAUCUGGUUCUGUUUGUGUUUAAGAAAUUUGAAUGUCUGAUGAGGUACCGGCAUUUGAAUUUGUCAUCGUGGCUCGUUUCAAUGAGCUGCUAGGAAAUAAACGCAAAACUUAUCACACGCCAGUUGUAGCAUUUUUAUUUUCAUUACUAAAGUAUACAGGUUUCAAAAGAUGGAAAGUGGGGAAAAAAGCAUCAAGAACGUAAUCAUCCUAGGAUUGUCAUGUCCUUACAACUCUGCAAUGACUAAUGCCUCAUACAUCUUGGGAGCGCAUUGGUCGCAAUUCCUACAGGUAUACUUAAUAAGAGAAAAGCUUGCACUCAGAUUUGAGAUUUGCCACGCAGUUGAUGGCUGAUGGCUUUUGUUUGUCGUCUUCAUGUUACUACUAUGUAUUCAAUAUCCAUUUAGAUCUGCUGCGUUUUUUUG